CCCGCGCCUCCCGCCCCCCCUGGCUCCUCACCCCGGGGACAGCUGGCAGCCCCCGCGCCGGACCAGACACAAAGCCGAUCAAUCCCGGCGGCGCGGGGGCGGGGGGACGCCCGCCGGGGCUUCCCUUCCGCUCCUCGCCUUCUCCUGCCCCCUCAUUAGGACCCAGCCCACACCUCGCCCGGCAUCCACGGCCCUCCCGCUCCCCCCCCCCACCCCCCAAAAGGAACAGCCCAGACCCCCCCCACCCCCAAGUCCCCCGCCAAGCCAGACCUGCCCCUAGGCGGCCGGCUGAGAAGGCGCCCCCGGCAGGGGGAAACUGACAUCCAUUGGGGUCCGCCCACCGCUCCCCUGGUCUCCCCGGAGCCGGCCUCUCCUCUCCUGCCCCAGAAGUUCAGCCCCCGCCCGGCCCCCCCCCCCCCCCCCCCCAGCCCGGGCCCUCCCGCGCUCCGGCCGCUGGGACCCUCGGCUUCCGAGGCGCAGCCAGCUCGGACCCCGAGAAGAUGGCGAGGAGGAGCCGCCACCGCCUCCUCCUGCUGCUGCUGCGCUACCUGGUGGUCGCCCUGGGCUAUCAUAAGGCCUAUGGAUCGUCUGCCCCAAAAGGCCAUCAAGUAGUCACAGCAAUAGAGUAUCAAGAGGUUAUAUUAGCCUGCAAAUAUGCAAAGAAGACCAUGUCCUCCAGGUUAGAGUGGAAGAAACUGGGCCGGAGUGUCUCCUUUGUCUACUACCAACAGUCUCUUCAAGGUGAUUUUAAAUAUCGAGCCGAGAUGAUAGAUUUCAGUAUACGGAUCAAAAAUGUUACAAGAAAUGAUGCUGGGAAAUAUCGUUGUGAAAUUAGUGCCCCAUCUAAGAAAGGCCAAAACCUGGAAGAAGAUACGGUUACUCUGGAAGUACUAGUGGCUCCAGCAGUUCCGUUGUGUAACGUCCCCAGCUCUGCUCUGAGUGGAACUGUGGUAGAGCUGCGAUGUCAUGACAAAGAAGGGAAUCCAGCUCCUGAGUACACGUGGUUUAAAGAUGGCGUCAAUUUGUUAGAGAAUCCAAGACGUGGCCCCCAAAGCAGCAACAGCUCAUAUACAAUGAAUACAAAAUCUGGGACUCUGCAAUUUAACACUGUUUCAAAACUAGACAGUGGAGAAUAUUUCUGUGAAGCCCAUAAUUCCGUGGGACGUCGCAGGUGUUACGCGAAGCGAAUGCAAGUAGACGAUCUCAACAUACGUGGCAUCAUAGCAGCUGUAGUAGGUGUGGCCUUUGUGAUUUCUGUUUGUGGCCUUGGUGUGUGCUAUGCUCAGAGGAAAGGCUACUUUUCAAAAGAGACCUCGUUCCAGGAAUGGCAAUACGGCAGUGAACAAAACAGACCAAAUAACUCUCUGCCUCACGGAGCUUACAUUGAAAAAGAUGGACAAUACACACAAAUGUAAACUCUGCAGUUUGUCAGAUUGUCAUAGUAUUAUGGCGAAAACUAAAGCGGGAGAAGUAAUUCUGCAUCUAAAGCCACCACAAUGAGUGAAAAUGAUUUCAAGCAUACAAAAUCUUUUAUAAUUUAAAAUAAUGCCACCUUUGAGAUACACCAAAACCACAGUUGUUACACAAGCUAUUAAAAGAUUUAAAUCUCUGCUUUGUCUUACAUUUGCAAGGAGGUACAUGAGGAGAUUAAAUUGGUAUUUCAUUCUAAUUUUUAUGAUCGCUAAAUUACUUGAAAUUGUUAUUUUAAACAAAUAGUUCUGUCAGCACCUAAAUAAAAUACGGUCUGGCUUCUUGGGUCUGGACAAAGUUAAAAGAAUCACAAUACUUUAUAGUAUUCUGGGGUUUAUGAGAUGUUAAAUGCCCUAACUUCUGGAGGAAGUUCGAUUGUGAAAUGAACCCACAGAGCAUGAAAAUAUAAACUGCAUCCACUUUCUGUACAAGAGUCUGAUUUAGAGGGUUCAGAAAACACUCUAAGACAGAUGCACUCUAAAACACUUUGACAGAUGCAAAGGGAACCUCUGAUCUUAUUUCUACCAGAAUCCUCUUUUCUCCCCUAAUACAAUCUGUAUUCCACUGCUCAUUUAUCACUAAUCUAUUCACAGAAGGGAGGUAGCAGGAGUGGUCUUCUCCCCAAGGAUUUGCACUUGGUGUUUAUUUUUAUUUCUGAGAACCAAAAACAACACGAAGAAAUACCUAAUGACCAGAGCUCACUCACCUGAUGUCAUUGAUUUCCUCAUUAAAUGUAACUUUGAGAGUCGAACCCAAACCCAAAUGUCUUCUUUCCCUUGAGUUGCUUGUUGCUGUUUCCUUCUCCUAAGACCGCUUUGAAGAUCAUCAGUGAACUUGACAUCAGACGUCGCCACUGGACCCCACACACAUAACCUUGCAGGCAGGCACCCUUCUCUGCAUGAUGGGGACUUCAUAUUUGUCUCUGAUAAUCAUGCAGUGAAAUUCUGGGCUGGGUCAAGUCCAGAAUUAAUAAUCAAAUCCAGUCCUGCUUAUUGAAGAGCCAGAGAUACAGAGGAGAAAGAGUUGUCUAACAAAUGAAAUGAAAAAUCAGUCCAAUCAUCUGGUUUCUCCACGGUGUCCAAGCUAGUGUUACAAAGUGAAAAUUCCAAUGAUCCAUGUAAGAGUAACUAGGCUGUGUUAAAAAGCAUAAUCUUCUAUAACUUAUUGUGAUUAUUCAGUUUAUCUUGAAAAUAAAAUAUGGGUAGGGCAUUUCCAGUUCUGGGCAAAUCUGGAUGAAAAGCUUACAAACUUUGACAACUUUGAACAUGGUUAAGCUACUUUUAAAGGAAUCCAUUUUUCCCUCAAUAGACAAAGCAAAUCCCAGGAUUCACUGGGCCAACAAAUGAUACCUGGAUACCACACCGGGUCACUGGGAAGAUGUCUGUUGUCAGACUGUGCCUUGCCCCCCACUCUUCUGUGGCAUUGGAUGCUUCUCACCAGACUCCUUGCAAUAUUUCCUAUAAAGGGCCAGAUAGUAGAUAUUUUAAGCCAUACUGGUUUUAUGGUGCCUGUUACAACUACUCGACUCCACCUUGGUAGCUCAAAAGCAGCCGUAGACAAUAAUAAAUGGCACGUUUGUGUUCCAACAAAACUUAAUUUACAAAAACAGCAGGCAUAGACAGGACUGGACCCACACGCAUACUUUCCCAACGCCUGGUGCUGAAGCAUGAGAAAAAACACCUAUCUAUAAGCUUUUGCCCAAAAAAAUAAAAAUAAAAAAUAAAUUAAGCUAAAUGUUGCCCAUGCUUUGAUUUGGUUUGGUAUGAGGAAUGCUUUCUUGUUGCAUGGCCGAGGGUCCAAGAGUGUAUGUGAGUCUCAAAGAUGGCUCUUCAGGCAUACCUACCAGCACACAAGAUCAACUUCUUCAAUUUAAAUGACACAGAUUGUGGGGGAAAACAUGCAGUGCCUUACUAACAGAUGAAAGCUGCUGAGCCAUUUGGCUAGAAGACUCAUCUUAUAAAGUGUUAACAUAUAACACUCUCUGAGUCAAAUAUGUAUUAUACAUUAUCUUAAUAUAUUGUACGUAGCUAAGUAAGUCAUUGUGUACAGGAUGCUUGCUCCCACACAAAGGACAUAAUGUUGAGCACUCGUUUUCCAUUUAUUAAAAGUAUAUCCACCUAUAUCUGGACUUGUGUUUCCAUUUGCUUUUGAGGAACUUGAAUAUUAACAAUAUUAUAAUAUUGAGGCAAAACCUCAUUAUAAUUCAUAGAGAGUUUUGAUUUUCUUUUCCUGCAGUGAAAUUGUGUUCUAUAAGGAUGAGGGCUCUAAAAUCUCUAAUAGCAAGUUUUGCUUGGUUUUAAUUAUCGUUGUUGCUAUUGUAACUAGAUUUAAUUUAUUUUUAGUUAGGGGUUUAACCUAACUAAAUCUGGAACGAUUGUUUUUUAGUAUAACUUUGCGAAGAAUUUCCUUCAUCUCAUGAGUGGUUUUGUUUGAUUAAAGUCUAUGUUAAUAAAAAUA